rnacentral:rRNA from 1 species
AUUGAACGCUGGCGGCAGGCCUAACACAUGCAAGUCGAACGAGCGGCGGACGGGUGAGUAAUGUCUGGGAAACUGCCUGAUGGAGGGGGAUAACUACUGGAAACGGUAGCUAAUACCGCAUACCAUCAGAUGUGCCCAGAUGGGAUUAGCUAGUUGGUGGGGUAACGGCGCAUCAAGGCGACGAUCCCUAGCUGGUAUGAGAGGAUGACCAGCCACACUGGAACUGAGACACGGUCCAGACUCCUACGGGAGGCAGCGGUGGGGAAUAUUGCACAAUGGGAGCAAGCCUGAUGCAGCCAUGCCGCGUGUAUGAAGAAGGCCUUCGGGUUGUAAAGUACUUUCAGCGGGGAGGCGUUACCCUCAGAAGAAGCACCGGCUAACUCCGUGCCAGCAGCCGCGGUAAUUC